UGUUAAAGCCUCAUCGUCUUUCAUAGC
rnacentral:piRNA from 1 species